rnacentral:rRNA from 1 species
UACGGGGGGGAGCAAGCGUUGUUCGGAGUUACUGGGCGUAAAGCGUGCGUAGGCGGUGGUCCAAGUCUGGUGUGAAAUCUCCCGGCUUAACUGGGAGGGUGCGCCGGAAACUGGGCCGCUGGAGUACGGGAGAGGCAAGCAGGAAUUCCAGGUGUAGCGGUGAAAUGCGUAGAUAUCUGGAGGAACACCCGUGGUGCAGACGGCUUGCUGACCGUGACUGACGCUGAGGCACGAAAGCGUGGGUAGCAAACAGG